CACGUAGGGUGCGAGCGUUGUCCGGAAUCACUGGGCGUAAAGGGCGCGUAGGCGGCUUCUCAAGCGUGUGGUGAAAGUCCGGGGCUCAACCCCGGAUCGGCCGUGCGGACUGGGGAGCUCGAGUUCUGUAGAGGCGGGUGGAAUUCCGGGUGUAGCGGUGGAAUGCGUAGAGAUCCGGAAGAACACCGGUGGCGAAGGCGGCCCGCUGGGCAGAGACUGACGCUGAGGCGCGACAGCGUGGGGAGCAAACAGG
rnacentral:rRNA from 1 species